UACGUAGGGGGCAAGCGUUGUCCGGAAUCAUUGGGCGUAAAGCGCGUGUAGGCGGUUCGGUAAGUCAGCUGUGAAAGUCCAGGGCUCAACCCUGGAAAGCCGGUUGAUACUGUCGGGCUAGAGUGCGGAAGAGGCGAGUGGAAUUCCUGGUGUAGCGGUGAAAUGCGCAGAUAUCAGGAGGAACACCGGUGGCGAAGGCGGGUCUCUGGGCCGAUACUGACACUGAGGAGCGAAAGCGUGGGGAGCGAACAGG
rnacentral:rRNA from 1 species